UACGUAGGGUGCGAGCGUUAAUCGGAAUUACUGGGCGUAAAGCGUGCGCAGGCGGUCUGCUAAGACAGAUGUGAAAUCCCCGGGCUUAACCUGGGAACUGCAUUUGUGACUGGCAGGCUAGAGUAUGGCAGAGGGGGGUAGAAUUCCACGUGUAGCAGUGAAAUGCGUAGAGAUGUGGAGGAAUACCGAUGGCGAAGGCAGCCCCCUGGGCCAAUACUGACGCUCAUGCACGAAAGCGUGGGGAGCAAACAGG
rnacentral:rRNA from 1 species